GACGAACGCUGGCGGCGUGCUUAACACAUGCAAGUCGAACGAUGAAGCUGGACCUUGCUCUGGUGGAUUAGUGGCGAACGGGUGAGUAACACGUGAGUAACCUGCCCUGGACUCUGGGAUAACCCCGAGAAAUCGGAGCUAAUACCGGAUAGGACCUUGGAUCGCAUGAUCUGGGGUGGAAAGUUUUUCGGUCUGGGAUGGACUCGCGGCCUAUCAGCUUGUUGGUGAGGUAAUGGCUCACCAAGGCGUCGACGGGUAGCCGGCCUGAGAGGGUGACCGGCCACACUGGGACUGAGACACGGCCCAGACUCCUACGGGAGGCAGCAGUGGGGAAUAUUGCACAAUGGGCGCAAGCCUGAUGCAGCAACGCCGCGUGCGGGAUGGCGGCCUUCGGGUUGUAAACCGCUUUUAGUAAGGAAGAAGCCGCAAGGUGACGGUACUUGCAGAAAAAGGACCGGCUAACUACGUGCCAGCCGCCGCGGUAACAC
rnacentral:rRNA from 1 species